CGCUGCCGUGCCUCAGGCGGAGCCCGGCGGGGCCGGGGCCGGAGCGGGCUCGGCCAGAGCGGCUCUGGGAGCGGCACUAAUGAAACAAAGGCCCGUGUGCUGUGCCUGCCGCGCCGCCGGAGGCAGCGGGAGAGCGCUGGCUGUGGUAAAAUGGGGGGGUUACCCCGGAACGCACCGACGAUGAGUUGCGUGAGGCAGAAAUCACUCAGUGAUCAUCUGACUGGAGGUGAAAGAAAUGUACGCGUUUUCAGUAAUAAUUUUUUGUUUAAGAAGAAAAACAGCAGUAAAGAAGAUCAAGGGAAUAAAAAGGAAGUGAAAUGAGGAGACCGUGGCUCGAGCAGCGACUACAGAAGAGCCCUGCAGGAUUGAUGGGAUGAAACAGUGCCUGCUGACCCAUGGAAGACCAGCUAAAAUGCCUGAACUCUGCUUCCCAGUUUUGCAUGAGCAAGAAGGAAAAUGUAGGUAGGCAUAGAAAACCCCAAAAGCAGACAUGAAGUGAGGAAAGUGUUAACUACAAAAAGUUCUUUCUUCAGUGAGUGCGUGUUGGUUUCGAACAGCAGGCUGGACUCAGUACAUUCAAAAACUUACACACUAUAAUUCUUGGUGCCUGCAGGCAGCAGCCACACCAAGCUUCAGUCUAACCCUAAUGACUUGGAAAAGUCUUUGCAUACUUUACAAGGAGCUGGACCAUAUUUCAAAACAGACUUUUGUAACAGAAAUUAAGGUUUCAGUGGUGGGGCAGCAUGGGUAGAGUAUAUCAGUGUUCUUGAACCAAUGGCUCACUCAAACUGAACUUCCUUUAUCCCACUUCCACUUUUCCAGAGGCUGGCUUUGACUCUUUAGAGUGAUGACACAUGAAUUGUAGAUUAAAAGAAGACUAAGUCAUGCCAAACAAGUUUGUAUAGGAAGAUCAUCUUUAACAACAAAUUAGAAAGUUGAUGUAUUAAAGCCUGUUAAAUUUUUUAAUGCAAUGAGCUGACCUGCUCUUUACCUGUUCCAAAUGGCAAAAAAUGUGAAAUUUGAAGAAUUGUUGCCUUUCAUUGGAAUGGCAGCUAAUGUGAUGCUGACUUUGUGACAUGCUUUAGCAUGUUGAAGCUUCUCAAAAAAUAAUGUUAAUAGAAAAAUUUAAUUAACUUAACUCAGUGCUGAAAAAAAAACCCCUAAAAUCUGCCCUUGGAACAGAUUCCUUUAUUAAAAAUAAGACAGAGCCCCACACAGUCAUAGUAUAAUCCAUUUAUUAGCAUAACUUGUGAGCCAUUGGUGGUGAUCCAGGAGACAUGACAGCUUUGGCACUUGACUGAUUUCAGAGGUACUCAGCCCUUAGUAGAAAGGGGUUUUAAUAGGACUUGAGUGGGCUACUACACAAAGAAGUUUCUGAUGUGGAAAAUUAAAUAUUUUUCCAAACAGCCCAGGAGAUGUGCAUUAGUACAGGUCACAGUGCCUUGUUCUACAAGGAGUAGUCUCAACUUGGUUACCACCAGAGGUGAUUCUGUUCUCUCUAACUGUAAGAAACUCCCAGAGAGUCUAUCAAGAUAGUGUUAAAUACCACAGUGUAGUUUCAUCUCUCUGAAGUUUUCAUCUUAUUGUCGAAUAUAUGCAUUAAAAUCCUUCUUCAAGUA